UACGUAGGGGGCUAGCGUUGUCCGGAUUUAUUGGGCGUAAAGAGUUGCUUGGGUGGCAGGGUAAGUUGGUGGUGAAAUCCUGGGGCUCAACCCUUUAAACAUUAUCAAAACUGCUCAGCUAGAGGACGAGAGAGGUCACUGGAAUUACUAGUGUAGGAGUGAAAUCCGUAGAUAUUAGUAGGAACACCGAUGGCGUAGGCAGGUGACUGGCUUGUUCCUGACACUAAGGCACGAAAGCGUGGGGAGCGAACGGG
rnacentral:rRNA from 1 species